UACGUAGGGUGCGAGCGUUAAUCGGAAUUACUGGGCGUAAAGCGUGCGCAGGCGGUUUUGUAAGCCAGAUGUGAAGUCCCCGGGCUUAACCUGGGAAUGGCAUUUGGGACUGCAAGGCUGGAGUUUGGCAGAGGAGACUGGAAUUCCUGGUGUAGCAGUGAAAUGCGUAGAUAUCAGGAGGAACACCGAUGGCGAAGGCAGGUCUCUGGGCUGAAACUGACGCUCAUGCACGAAAGCGUGGGGAGCAAACAGG
rnacentral:rRNA from 1 species